CAAAGUUCUAUCAGAAGCCCGGCAGGAACAGUGGAGCUUUGGAGAAAUAACAGAUGAAAACAUUGGAGGGAGCCACAGGAGGUAGACUGAUAGACUAAGGACUGUUUCUGUAAUCAGGUCCUGCUGAGUUCCUGCUGUAUACCAGAGGUCAUGGGUCACACAGAACAACUGAAACAGCCAACUACUCUCAAAUUCUCAUUCUUAAAAUGCAAACACAACCUUAUUCAGCACCAGAAGCAGUGAGUUGGAAACAUUUGUGCUUCCCUCAAAAGAGAUGCAUUUAGAUUUGGACUCAAGAACCUGCUGGGGAUAGGGAGUAUGUAUACAGGAUCAGGGAUAUGGCUCAGGAUACAGCAGGAGUACAGAUCUUCAACGACCAUGUAAACAGUCAUGCAUGGCACAGGAGCUCACUGGCUACCGUCUAACCAAAAUGGCAAGAGUACAGGUUCACUGAGAGACCCCUCCUCAAAACAGCUAAGGUGGAGAGUGACUGAGAAACAUCCUGAGGUCAGCCUCCAGUACAUGUACACACACAGACACAUACACACACACCUUUUAUACUUUUAAAGUUGAAAGGCCACUGCAAAAAUAGUGUUGCUUUACAAAUCAAUGCAAACAUUUGUUAAAUGAAGAAAUUUUGGUUUUUGUUUGUUGGUUUGUUGCCUUUGUUUUGUUUUUCUUUUCUCCAGACCCCGUGCUGCUCAGCUAAGAAUAGCAUUUUCUUUAAUUCUGUUGUAACUGGGACCAUCUACAGGUCUUACACCACUCUGCUGUUAUGAGGCAACUAAUGUGGAAUUUGACCUGAGCAUGGGAUUGUCUGAAGUUCUCCCAGGCAAUCCCACUCUACAGGAGAGGAGGAUGUCUGGUGGGAGCUGGAGCAGGACCUGGAGGGUCUAUACGCCUCUCUUCCCUGUCCACUCUGCUGUGUCCCUGCUCCAAGACCUCGUCCUAUAGCUGUAAAAUACACACUUAUGGUUGGCACUACCAUGCAGAUUUUUGAAUGAAAUAAUUCCCAAUGCUUUACACCAAGAUCCCAGAGAAAACCAUUCAAGUCGCACUAAAGCUCAAGUAAAAAAUGUGUUUCUUCCAACACUGCCCUGCAAUGUGCUCCUGAAAAGAAGUGAGCUUGCGGGACUGCUCUCCCAGGAAAGGGGAUACUCUAAAAAGACCACCCAUGCCUCUCCCUUUAGCUAUCAGACUGUGUAAAAACAAAGAACCUCAAACACACCCCCACCCCCACCUUCACCCCAAACCAGAGCUGGGAAAGGCUGAAAUCCUGGUGCUAGUCAGUGGAGAAACCCACCUCACAGGAAGAGAAUUUCACACAGUUCUGACCCCUGGAGAGCAACUGGACCUGAGACUAAGGUGAGUCAGGGGUAGUGGGGGAGGGGUGGGGCUGGGGUUUUCACCUGGACCUGGCCUGCAAACCCCGGGCUUUCCAUUUAAGAAGAUGACAGGAGAUUCUAGUUAAGAAGGGAGAUGGCUCGGCUAGUAACUCAUCAGUAAGUGCUUAUGCAUGAGAGUGAGGACCUUAGUUUGAUCCCCCAGAAUCCACAGAAAAAAGUUGGGUGCAAAUCACAAGCUGGGGAGAUCUAGAUAGGAAGAUCCCAGGGGCGUUCUGGCUGCUAGCUAGUCCAGUCCAUCCCAGCCUGUGAACUCCAGAUUCAGUGAAGGACGGUGUCUCACCAAAGUAAGGCUGAGAGUGAUUAAAUAAGUCAUCCAACAUUAACCACUGGGCUGUUGUGUAAACAAGGGUACACAGACACACACACCAUACAUUUUAUGGACUUGGGCAUCCAUGGACAUCUGUAUUUUUUCAGCUUCCCAAUGAAGCCUCACUGAGGAAGUUUCUUUCCUCUGCUUUUCACUGUCACGCGUCACUUUAGUUGGUAUUGGAGGCAGGUGGCCAAGGUUCUUGGCUUGUUGGGGCUGCCUCGGCUUUGUCCCCAACACUCCAGUUAACUGUACAACAAGCUCACUUUCCAGCACUGGAGUCUGUUGAGCUGGGCAUUCCAGCAGCAGCCCAGGCACAAAGAAAGCCUUUUCUGAGGAGGAAGGUGUUCUUAGAGAGCUGCAUAUGGAUUUGUGGAACAGGACUUUGAAGCGCUCCCUCUAAUCUUGCAGCCUGCGUCACUGAGGAUGGAUCUCCAAGGCAAGAAUCCAUCAGAUCAUACAAAAUCACAUUACAGAACUCAGCAAAAAGAACUUAAAACGAACAAGCAAGCAAGCAAGCAAGCAAGCAAGCAAGGAAACAAGCAAGGAAACAAGCAAGGAAACAAACAAACAAACAAACAACUAUUAAAAUAGCCGUGCUUACCAUGAGAAACUUGUUGGCCUCAACAAGCUCCUUUUGGUCUAAUCUGUAACUGCCCUUUCCUUGUUACUAUUAAGUUUUAAAGUGGGGCAAUUUCCGCACUACCAUCUUACUUAUCUGUCAUGAUUUCUGGUUUCAUUGUAAAAUUAAUGUGUUUUCCAAGGCA